rnacentral:tRNA from 1 species
GCAUUAGUGCUUCAGUGGUGGAAUUCUGGCCUUCUAUGCUGGAGACCCGGGAUCAAUUCCCAACCAGUGCU